GCAUAUCAAUAAAGCGGAAGGAAAAGAAACCAACAGGGAUUGCCCCAGUAACGGCGAGUGAAGCGGCAACAGCUCAAAUUUGAAAUCUGGCCCCCAGGGCCCGAGUUGUAAUUUGCAGAGGAUGCUUUUGGCGCGGUGCCUUCCGAGUUCCCUGGAACGGGACGCCAUAGAGGGUGAGAGCCCCGUCUGGUCGGACGCCUAGCCUGUGUAAAGCUCCUUCGACGAGUCGAGUAGUUUGGGAAUGCUGCUCUAAAUGGGAGGUAUAUGUCUUCUAAAGCUAAAUACCGGCCAGAGACCGAUAGCGCACAAGUAGAGUGAUCGAAAGAUGAAAAGCACUUUGAAAAGAGGGUUAAAUAGUACGUGAAAUUGUUGAAAGGGAAGCGCUUGUGACCAGACUUGGGCCCGGUGGAUCAUCCAGCGUUCUCGCUGGUGCACUCCGCCGGGUUCAGGCCAGCAUCAGUUCGCCGCGGGGGAAAAAGGCUUCGGGAACGUGGCUCCUACGGGAGUGUUAUAGCCCGUUGCAUAAUACCCUGGGGCGGACUGAGGUUCGCGCUCCGCUAGGAUGCUGGCGUAAUGGUCAUCAGCGACCCGUCUUGAAACACGGACCAAGGAGUCGUCUUCGUAUGCGAGUGUUCGGGUGUAAAACCCCUACGCGUAAUGAAAGUGAACGCAGGUGAGAGCUUCGGCGCAUCAUCGACCGAUCCUGAUGUUCUCGGAUGGAUUUGAGUAAGAGCAUACGGGGCCGGACCCGAAAGAAGGUGAACUAUGCCUGUAUAGGGUGAAGCCAGAGGAAACUCUGGUGGAGGCUCGCAGCGGUUCUGACGUGCAAAUCGAUCGUCAAAUAUGGGCAUGGGGGGCGAAAGACUAAUCGAACCUUUCUAGUAGCUGGGUUUCCGCCGAAG
rnacentral:rRNA from 1 species